rnacentral:rRNA from 1 species
AUACGUAGGUGGCAAGCGUUGUCCGGAUUUAUUGGGCGUAAAGCGAGCGCAGGCGGUUUCUUAAGUCUGAUGUGAAAGCCCCCGGCUCAACCGGGGAGGGUCAUUGGAAACUGGGAGACUUGAGUGCAGAAGAGGAGAGUGGAAUUCCAUGUGUAGCGGUGAAAUGCGUAGAUAUAUGGAGGAACACCAGUGGCGAAGGCGGCUCUCUGGUCUGUAACUGACGCUGAGGCUCGAAAGCGUGGGGAGCAAACAGGAUUAGAUACCCUGGUAGUCCACGCCGUAAACGAUGAGUGCUAAGUGUUGGAGGGUUUCCGCCCUUCGGUGCUGCAGCAAACGCAUUAAGCACUCCGCCUGGGGAGUACGACCGCAAGGUUGAAACUCAAAUGAAUUGACGGGG